CAGUCGCCGCGGGAAUACGGAGGGUGCAAGCGUUAUCCGGAUUUAUUGGGUUUAAAGGGUCCGUAGGCGGACUUAUAAGUCAGUGGUGAAAGCCUGUCGCUUAACGAUAGAACUGCCAUUGAUACUGUAAGUCUUGAGUAUAUUUGAGGUAGCUGGAAUAAGUAGUGUAGCGGUGAAAUGCAUAGAUAUUACUUAGAACACCAAUUGCGAAGGCAGGUUACCAAGAUAUAACUGACGCUGAGGGACGAAAGCGUGGGUAGCGAACAGGAUUAGAGACCCGAGUAGUCCCUGUCUCUUAUAC
rnacentral:rRNA from 1 species